CCUACGGGUGGCAGCAGUGAGGAAUAUUGGUCAAUGGGCGCGAGCCUGACCCAGCAAAGUAGCGUGAAGGAUGACUGCCCUCCGGGUUGUAACCUUCUUUUAUAAAGGAAUAAAGUGAAGCACGUGUGCCUUUUUGUAUGUACUUUAUGACUAAGGAUCGGCUAACUCAGUGCCAGCAGCCGCGGUAAUACGGAGGAUCCGAGCGUUAUCCGGAUUUAUUGGGUGGAAAGGGAGCGUAGAUGGGUUGUUAAGUCAGUUGUGAAAGUUUGCGGCUCAACCGUAAAAUUGCAAUUGAUACUGGCAGUCUUGAGUACAGUUGAGGUAGGCGGAAUUCGUGGUGUAGCGGUGAAAUGCGUAGAUAUUACGAAGAACACCGAUUGCGAAGGCAGCUUACUGAACUGCCACUGACAUUGAUGCUCGAAAGUGUGGGUAGCAAACAGGAUUAGAUACCCCAGUAGUC
rnacentral:rRNA from 1 species